AACUAUCUAGCAUAUUCAAAUCCUUUAUGAUAACCUAUUAAGGGUAUUAAACAUUAUUUCUGUAACAGAUAUGUAAUGCCAUUAUAUGCGACUUUAGGCUUAUGUGGGCUACUCUACAUAUUUGACAAAGGUACCAGGUAUACCCAAGCUUAAGGUAGAACUCUUGUGUGUUUUGAAACAAAGGAGAAGUGAGAUGAGUUAGCAUAGUUAUUAAUACAUGUUUUUAAGUCCACGAGAACAUAAACAAACAUGCGUACAUAUGGAUAAAUAAAUACAUGUAUUAAUAUUUGUGUUUAUCUGCCAUUGCUGGUCCCUAGCCCGGAUAAGAAAGGUGGAGAGCUGGCAUUAGGUCAAUUGCAUGUCAUAGAAAGCAUGUCAGACCAUAAAAUGGAUCCAAAGUUGAUAAUUGUAGGUCUAUGCAUGCAUUCAUACAUGUAUGUAUGCAUAUAUUUUCAUGUAUAUAUUUAUGUGUUUAUUAGAACUAGAAUCUUUUUGGUGCAACAUAUUUAAUGAUAUCUUUACCUUGGGAAUAUUAUUCAUGAUCCACAAUGUUUGAAAUGCCUAAAAAGUGAUAGGAAAAUCUUUUGAUGCUCCAAUACCCAGAAACUGAUAAAUGUUCUGGAGUUUCAAUGCCCAUUAUCAGUUGUCCAUAAGAUAGAUGGUAGAAUAAAGCUAGGUUAAGGUCAGCCAUAUAAUUUGAGAAUCCUCACCAUUUUGGAUGAAGCAUGUUAUAGAUGAUUUUAGUUGCUUCCAGACCAUUUAGGCCCUAUUUGGGAGAGCUUUUGGAGGGCCAAAAAGUACUUUCUGCCCCUCCAAAAGUACUUUUGGAUGAAAAAAGGUGUUUAGUAAAAUUUUAAAAAGCUGUUUCAGCUUUUCCAGAAAGCUAAAAAUAACUUUUGGAGAGAAGUUCCAAUUUAGAGCUUUCCGAAGAAGCUGUUUUUAGCUUUGUUGGAAAGCCAUAUUUUUGACAAAAAUACCCUCCUUUUAAAAGUGCCCUUUUUCCUCCCACGCCGCGUCUUCCUCUCCCACCCAUCCCCCUCCCUCCCCCUC
rnacentral:lncRNA from 1 species